rnacentral:tRNA from 1 species
CCGAUCUUAGCUCAGCUGGAAGAGCGAAGGACUGUAAUUGUGCAGAGACAUCCAUAGGUCGCCUGUUCGAUCCAGGUAGAUCGGA